ACUCUAGUAUUGAUUUUAAUCCACAUAUAUUGAGGUGGAUUAGAGUAUAACUUAAACUAAUUUACACUCGAAUUCACCUCAACACAUGUGGAUUGAGGUCAAUACUAGA
rfam:Zea mays cultivar B73 chromosome 9, whole genome shotgun sequence.